ACCUUCGGGCCUCAUGCCAUCAGAUGUGCCCAGAUGGGAUUAGCUAGUAGGUGGGGUAACGGCUCACCUAGGCGACGAUCCCUAGCUGGUCUGAGAGGAUGACCAGCCACACUGGAACUGAGACACGGUCCAGACUCCUACGGGAGGCAGCAGUGGGGAAUAUUGCACAAUGGGCGCAAGCCUGAUGCAGCCAUGCCGCGUGUGUGAAGAAGGCCUUCGGGUUGUAAAGCACUUUCAGCGGGGAGGAAGGCGGUGAGGUUAAUAACCUCAUCGAUUGACGUUACCCGCAGAAGAAGCACCGGCUAACUCCGUGCCAGCAGCCGCGGUAAUACGGAGGGUGCAAGCGUUAAUCGGAAUUACUGGGCGUAAAGCGCACGCAGGCGGUCUGUCAAGUCGGAUGUGAAAUCCCCGGGCUCAACCUGGGAACUGCAUUCGAAACUGGCAGGCUAGAGUCUUGUAGAGGGGGGUAGAAUUCCAGGUGUAGCGGUGAAAUGCGUAGAGAUCUGGAGGAAUACCGGUGGCGAAGGCGGCCCCCUGGACAAAGACUGACGCUCAGGUGCGAAAGCGUGGGGAGCAAACAGGAU
rnacentral:rRNA from 1 species